CUACGGGGUGCACCAGUGAGGAAUAUUGCACAAUGGGGGAAACCCUGAUGCAGCAACGCCGCGUGGAGGAUGACGCAUUUCGGUGUGUAAACUCCUUUUAUCAGAGAAGAAAAUGACGGUAUCUGAUGAAUAAGCUCCGGCUAACUCCGUGCCAGCAGCCGCGGUAAUACGGAGGGAGCAAGCGUUAUUCGGAAUCACUGGGCGUAAAGGACGCGUAGGCGGGCUUUUAAGUCAGGUGUGAAAUCCUAUGGCUCAACCAUAGAACUGCACUUGAAACUGGGGGCCUAGAGUAUGGAAGGGGCAGGUGGAAUUAGUGGUGUAGGGGUAAAAUCCGUAGAUAUCACUAGGAAUACCGAAAGCGAAGGCGACCUGCUGGGACAUUACUGACGCUGAGGCGUGAAAGCGUGGGGAGCAAACAGGAUUAGAUACCCCCGUAGUC
rnacentral:rRNA from 1 species